UACGUAGGGUGCGAGCGUUGUCCGGAAUUAUUGGGCGUAAAGGGCUCGUAGGCGGUUUGUCGCGUCGGGAGUGAAAACCCAGGGCUUAACUCUGGGCUUGCUUUCGAUACGGGCAGACUAGAGGUAUGCAGGGGAGAACGGAAUUCCUGGUGUAGCGGUGAAAUGCGCAGACAUCAGGAGGAACACCGGUGGCGAAGGCGGUUCUCUGGGCAUUACCUGACGCUGAGGAGCGAAAGUGUGGGGAGCGAACAGG
rnacentral:rRNA from 1 species